rnacentral:lncRNA from 1 species
UUUGUUUUUAUCCUCAUUGGUUAUGUUAGCUGUGCAGUUUUGUUAAAGGUAUUAAGGAAAAUUAAUUAGGCAGGAUGUAAGAUCCCAAAUAAUUAAUAAAUGAAAUUUAAUUUCCUCUAAUUAUUAUUUUGAAAUAGUAAGGGUUGAUGUGAUUAAUGUGGAUAGUUAUAGGUAAAAUACGCAAAUAUUUCAAAAUAAGCAAGUGGUUAUAAAAUAUUCAUUGUUGUCG